rnacentral:rRNA from 1 species
GAUGAACGCUGGCGGCGUGCCUAAUACAUGCAAGUCGAACGCUGGAAAUCUAGCUUGCUCGCUUGAAGGAGUGGCGAACGGGUGAGUAAUACAUAAGCAACCUACCCACGAAGACUGGGAUAAUCUCUGGAAACGGGGACUAAUACCGGAUAGGUAAUCGGAAGGCAUCUUCUGAUUAUUAAAGGUUAAAAACACUGGUGGAUGGGCUUAUGGCGCAUUAGUUAGUUGGUGAGGUAACGGCCCACCAAGACGAUGAUGCGUAGCCGGCCUGAGAGGGUGAACGGCCACAUUGGGACUGAGACACGGCCCAGACUCCUACGGGAGGCAGCAGUAGGGAAUUUUCGGCAAUGGGGGAAACCCUGACCGAGCAACGCCGCGUGAGUGAUGACGGCCUUCGGGGUGUAAAGCUCUGUUGUAAGGGAAGAACGGUAGAUAGAGAAUAUCUAAAUGACGGUACCUUACCAGAAAGCCACGGCUAACUACGUG